UCCGAUAUGGUGUAACGGCUAACAUUACCGCCUUUCAUGUCAGACGAAGCGUUGCGUCGCGGUAGCUCGGGGUUCGACUCCCCGUAUCGGAG